UCAACGUUUCAGUGAUGCAUAGAGGACUUUCAUCAGGAUCAAAUAAUAAUAUUUGAUCCUGAUGAAAGUCCUCUAUGCAGGCCUGAAAUG